rnacentral:lncRNA from 1 species
CUCACGGCUGGACGUCAGAAUGACUACAUUAAUAUUCAUGGUCCUUCAACAUAGUGCUCGGUGCCAAAAGCGAUUUAGAGACAAAUGAAGUCGAGUCGGUCCGUGUGUAACUACAGUCAGAAUGCGAAAGCAGGGAGAUGUCUAACACGACUGGAUUAAAUGAAAGAGCAGACGCAGCCAACAACAGCGGACAGAUGAAAGAGGAUGAACGGACCAGAGGAGAUGGCGUGCAUGAAAGUCAGGAGAGAGUGAAGAGUGAGGUGAGAGAUGACCUGAUCCGAAACUCCCAGCCCAUCCUGUCAAAUAAAUCCCAGAUGCUCGGCAUGCCCCAGUACGGCCUGCGGGAUAACCUCAUCAAAUGUGAGCUCCUCAAGAACGAGGAUGCCUACACCUACAUCAAGAACUACAGCUUUUUCUUGGGCACCUACAAUGUGAAUGGCAAGAAUCCAAAGGAAAGUCUCAGUCCAUGGCUGGCAUCCACCACCACUCCUCCAGACUUUUACCUUGUGGCUUUCCAAGAGCUGGAUCUCAGUAAAGAGGCGUUUCUCUUCAAUGACACUCCUAAAGAACCCGAGUGGAUGUUAGCUGUCUACAAGGGCCUCCAUCCAGAUGCCAAGUAUGCUUUUGUGAAGCUGGUGCGGUUGGUGGGCAUCAUGCUGUUGUUCUAUGUGAAGGCGGAGCAUGCGGCACACAUCUCUGAGGUGGAGGUUGAGAGCGUCGGCACAGGUGUCAUGGGACGGAUGGUGAGUGACGUCUGUUUUUAUGAAAACAGUUAUUCAGGACUCUACAGUGCCAGGGCUUGCAA